rnacentral:rRNA from 1 species
AUUGAACGCUGGCGGCAUGCCUUACACAUGCCAGUCGAACGGUAACAGGGAGCUUGCUCCGCUGACGAGUGGCAAACGGGUGAGUAAUGUAUCGGAACGUACCUUUUAGUGGGGGAUAACGUAGCGAAAGUUACGCUAAUACCGCAUAUUCUCUGAGAAGGAAAGCAGGGGACCUUCGGGCCUUGCGCUAACAGAGCGGCUGAUAUCAGAUUAGCUAGUUGGUGAGGUAAAGGCUCACCAAGGCGACGAUCUGUAGCGGGUCUGAGAGGAUGAUCCGCCACACUGGAACUGAGACACGGUCCAGACUCCUACGGGAGGCAGCAGUGGGGAAUUUUGGACAAUGGGGGCAACCCUGAUCCAGCCAUGCCGCGUGAGUGAAGAAGGCCUUCGGGUUGUAAAGCUCUUUCGGCCGGGAAAAAAUCGCAUGGGUUAAUACCCUGUGUGGAUGAUGGUACCGGAAUAAGAAGCACCGGCUAACUACGUGCCAGCCGCCGCCGUAA